GACGCUGGCGGCAGGCCUAACACAUGCAAGUCGAGCGCGCCUUCGGGUGAGCGGCGGACGGGUUAGUAACGCGUGGGAACGUGCCCUUCUCUACGGAAUAGCCUCUGGAAACGGAGAGUAAUACCGUAUACGCCCUUUGGGGGAAAGAUUUAUCGGAGAAGGAUCGGCCCGCGUUAGAUUAGGUAGUUGGUGGGGUAACGGCCUACCAAGCCUACGAUCUAUAGCUUGGUUUUAGAGGAUGAUCAGCAACACUGGGACUGAGACACGGCCCAGACUCCUACGGGAGGCAGCA
rnacentral:rRNA from 1 species